UUCUAUGAUGACCCUACGACAUGCGAAAGGCAUUCCUCAAACUUAAGUUAUCAUGUGGAAACUGUCAAUUUACAAGUUUCAGCCUUGUCUGAUU
rfam:Paracoccidioides brasiliensis Pb18 unplaced genomic scaffold supercont2.2, whole genome shotgun sequence.